AUUAAUUCCAAAACAUUUCACUUGAAAAUAACAAUUGCUGCAUAACAGUGUUCCUGUGUCAAAUGAAUCGUUGGUUCAGGGUGGCAAGGAAUGGGUCAUCCCACCAUAGGAGUGAUAGGACUUUGUAUGCAGCAAUUGGAACACAAGUAUAGUUUUCAGCAUGAUCAACUAAACCGGAAAUGAAAUAAAUGCGACAGGUCUUGAUACUGAAUAAAUGCAGGAACAGUGUCAAUGCAUG